GUAGGAGGAGAAGAGAGAAGAGGGCGCUGCGGUGCUCACUGCGCGUGCGCACCUUCUCAGCGGAAGUGUCGCUUGGUUGCUAAGAGACGCGCCGGCCCCCUCGUCUCCCUCUGGAAAGGCUGAGGGAGUUCCUUACAAAGUAUUGCUGAGCAACAGAGGCAGUCAGAGGGUGAGAGCUCUACCUAAGAACUUCUGCCUGGGGCCAGCCUCACCAAACAAACUGGGCGCGGCCCCCACAGCUGUACUAUUCCACCAGAAGCCAGCAGCAGAUAAAAAUGCCAUCACUUGGACCCAGAGCCUGCUUUGCUGAGCAACUUCUACCAAAGAGACACCUCACCAUCACAAGAAAAAACACCCCUAUCUACUUCCCCAAGGACCUCAUAUCACAGUUUACACCGCCCGCCCUCCAUGAAGACCUGGGCUUUGCCUGAACAGUAUCCAGAGGAGUAUUUGUGAUGGUCUGGGAAUCUUUGGGGGGGGGGGGCAAAAAGACUGGGGCUAGACAUCAUGGGGAGGGAAUUGGGAGGCAGGUGGGGGAGGGGAAUGGUAACCAAACCUUUUUAACUUGGCCCUUUUAACUUGUGGAAUUGUGCAAUAUAGUAAUUCUAAUUCAGACAGCACUUCAAACACUCUGACACUACAUCUGCCCUGUUGGUUUAUUGCAAAUUGCCUUUUUACAUUUAAUGUUUUAACUGUUUACUAAUAUUAGAUAUAUUAGUAAACAUGUCCUAAAUGUUUGAUUUAUAUAUUUAAAUUUCUAUAUUUGUUAGUUUUGAGUUGUUCGAUAAGUACACCCGAUAAUGUUCAUUUUAUUGUUUAUGAUUUGAUCAGUCAUGUUUUCUAAUGUAUGGUUGGCAUUUUGCCAUUAUGUUGUAAACCGCUUUGAGUCCCCCCAGGGGUGAGAAAAGCGGUACAUAAAUGCAGUAAAUAAAUAAAUAAAUAAAAUAUAGUACUAA